rnacentral:rRNA from 1 species
CACGUAGGGACCAAGCGUUGUCCGGAUUCAUUGGGCGUAAAGAGCUCGUAGGCGGUUCAGUAAGUCGGGUGUGAAACCUCCAGGCUCAACCUGGAGACGCCACCCGAUACUGCUGUGACUAGAGUCCAGUAGGGGAGCGUGGAAUUCCUGGUGUAGCGGUGAAAUGCGUAGAUAUCGUUUGGAACGCCAAUGGUGAAAACAGGUUGCUGGGAGUGUGCUGACGCUGAGACACGAAAGCCAGGGGAGCGAACGGG